AUGACGAAUUUGGCGAACAUAUCCAAAAUAAAAAAGCGCCAACACUGUCCACUAAAUUUUCAAGUCUUUUCUUUCACUCUAUUCAAAGAACCCUAAGCCCCAAAUUGCAACAUAAGGAUGGACAAACUCUAUGCUACCACUGCCUUACUAUUCAAAGAAUCUUAUGCCCCAAAUUGCAACAUAUGAAUGGCACAAACUCUCUGCUACCACUGUCUUGCUAUCCUCCCUCUCCAAUUGGUGCGCUCUCUCUCUCUCUCUCUCUCUGAGUGUGUAAUGUGCUUAAUUGAAGUUCAAUUUUACUUUGAUUUCAACUCAUUUGAUUCCUAUGGUUUUUUCACUGCUAUAAAUUUGUAUUUUCUUCAAUUUAGGAUUCAUAAUAGAAGAAAUAUAGAUAAUUGAGAAUUGUUGGGAAAGGAUUUUAUUGAGUAUUAACAUUGCAAAAAUACGGAUCCUUACUUCAGCCUGCACACUGAUAAAUAUUUUAUUGUGAACAAUUGAAUAAAGAAAGAUAAUCAAAAGAAUAUAUGCAGAUGUAUAUAUAGAUAGAUUCUUAUUUAAUUCCUUUGCAGAACCUUAUCUAAUGUGAUUAUUAAUGUUUAAUUUCUUAAAGAAAGAGGAGGGGUUGAGAAUGUGAAGUCGCCUGAUGUUUUCUUGCAGUAUUUGGUAACUUUUGGGAUAGUGAAGGAUGAGAAUUUUGAUUUGUACAGGAAACUUAUUUGCGUCUGCUUGGAGGAAACAGAAGCCUAAAUUGGAUGUCUCUCUUGGAAAUGGUGAUAAAAUGCCUAGUAAUUUUUUUGUGUUAUGUUAUAUUAUUUUGUUCAUAUUAUUGUUUUAGCUUGAGAAAUAGGAGUAAUUUCUCAAAAAAUCUAUGUGAUUUUUUCCCAUCUUUCCAAGAAUUGAUAAGCGUUACCCGGUUCCUAUACUGGUGGAAGAUAACAGUAUCCGAUGGAAUAGUCGAGUUGCACGCAAAAUGGCCCGGCACCACUGUCAUAAAAAAAUAGAGUACUUUGUCUUUCAUAGUCUUAUAAUUUGAUGAAAUAAGGCUAAUUUAAGAGAAAUGCAUAGUGAGGAACUAGCUUUUUUUUGGUGUGGUUUGUCUUUUGUUCAGGUGGAAAAGGUUAAGAUGUCAUAAGUAAAAUUUUGGGGAAUUUUACCUGUGCUUAUGACUUUUGAGUAGGUCUACAGUUGAAAUGUCUGGUUAAUUUGGAAGUUUAGGUGCUUAGUGGCUUUGACUUGAGAGAUCAUUUUACUGUUUGCCCUUUUUAUUCAUAUCUGUGAUUGAGUUAGUUAUGGGAUGUGUUCUUGGAGUUAAAUUGGACUACUUUCUACUGAUAUCCGCUAUAGGUAUUUGAAAAUCUUACUCAACUCCAAUCUCUAGCUCCCUGUGGAAAUCGAUCCCGACAUUCUCGUGUAAAAGCUGCUUCGACCUUUCUUGCUACUUAUUAGUAGUACAGGGUUGGCCUAGAUCAGUCAUCUCCUUGUUGUGGUGACUUAGUUUAUAUUUUUGUGCUCUAGUUUGGCUUAUGUAUUUUCCGAACAAAACAUCUAAAACAAGUGCCGCUGUCUUAGCAGAGGAAACCUAAUAUUUUGAGGUCAUUGUAAGCCACAUGAAGUAGAAGGGACUUACAUUGUUGCCAUGCUUAGUGUGAAACUCUGUUUAGCAUCGACACUUCCUUGUCCACGCAUCCAACAUCUUCUCAUUUGAUGUGUGUUUUCCUUGCUUCUACUAUGGAAGUACAAUAUUUUUUUUGCAAUAGGUAAAAUUAUCCCACUAGAAGUGGAAAAUAUUAAUUUAUAGAUGAUAUAUUAUUUAUAUAAAAAUUUUCUUGGUUUGAAAUAUUAGAAACAAAUUAUAUCUUGUGAUUAUGGCAUAGUUGAAAUGAACCGUGGAAGCAAAGGGGCACUAGAUUAAACCUCAUGCCCCAACAGUUCGGGGGAUUUGUAUCUAUACCUGCUUUUGGGUCACGUUUUAACUUGUGCCCGCUUUACAAAAAAAAUUUGCAAGCGUACCCACUUUUUCGCGUAACUUCAGCAUAUGGGGCUAAAUUAGCAAAGGCAAUCAUGCAAAACUUCAGCAUUCUAGUAGACGGGCCUGAUGUAGCAAGUGUGCUGAACCAAGUGUGUUGAAGUUUUUGUUUGUAAUUGCUGAACAUAAGCAUAGUAGCUGAAGUUUUUGUUUGUAAUUACUAAACUUAAACAUAGUAGCUGAAGUUUUGUUCUCUAUUUGCUGAAGUUUUUGUUUGUAAUUGCCUCUAUUUGCUGAAGUUUUUGUUUGUAAUUGGACUAAAUAAGCUGAAGUGUUUUUGUCCUAGAUUCAUUAGUUUUUUCAUUUAACUUCUUCAAAAACAUCAGCAGAAGAUGCUGAAGUUAUUUAGUUCAUUUAUAAAAACUUCAGCACUAAAUAAGCUAAAGUUUUUUUUGUCCUGGAUAAGCUUUUUGUAAUGACCCGACCAGAUGUUUUGAGCUCUAGCGCGUCGUUCAGCAGUUUGAGGCCAUGAGCAGCUUCGCUUCAGGUAUUAUGACUUGUGCACAUGGUCAGAAUUAAAUUUCGAAAAGUUCGGAGUUGACUUGGAAAGAGAAUUCUCAUUUCGGAAGCUUUAAGUUNNNNNNNNNNNNNNNNNNNNNNNNNNNNNNNNNNNNNNNNNNNNNNNNNNNNNNNNNNNNNNNNNNNNNNNNNNNNNNNNNNNNNNNNNNNNNNNNNNNNNNNNNNNNNNNNNNNNNNNNNNNNNNNNNNNNNNNNNNNNNNNNNNNNNNNNNNNNNNNNNNNNNNNNNNNNNNNNNNNNNNNNNNNNNNNNNNNNNNNNNNNNNNNNNNNNNNNNNNNNNNNNNNNNNNNNNNNNNNNNNNNNNNNNNNUUUAGCGCCUAUUGUGGCAGUUAGCAUUUUUGAAGAAUCUCAUAAGUUUGGAUUGAAGUGCAUUUCAGGGUUAUCAAUGUCCAUUUGGGUUUCCGAGUCUGGGAAUAGCUCCAUAUGGUGAUUCUGGUGUUGGGAGCGUGAUCGAAAGUGAAUUCGGAGGUCCGUAGGUCAUUUUGGAGUCAUUUGGCUAAAGAUAGAAAUUUGAAGGUUCUUGAGAAGUUUGAUCGGAAGUGGUCUUUUUGAUAUCGGGGUCAGAUUCCAAUUCCAGAAGUUGGAGUAGGUCCGUAAUGUCAAAUAUGACUUGUGUGCAAAAUUUGAGAUCAAUUAAACGUGUUUUGAUAUGUUUUGGCAUCGAAUAUAGAAGUUUAAAAUUCUAAAGUUCAUUAAGCUUGGAUUGGAGGUCGAUUCAUGAUUUUAGCAUUGUUUGAUAUGAUUUUAGGCCUGGAGCAAGUCCAUUAUAUAUUUUGGGUGGUUGGUGUGAUUGGAUGGGGUCCUAGGGGCCUUGGGUGGAUUUCGGAUGGUUAACGGAUUAAAUGUGGAGUUUGAAGAAGGGUUUCAGUAGCUGGUAUCUGGUGUAACCGCACCUACGAGGUUGUGGCCACAGGUGCGGAGCCGCAGAAACGGCCUGGGAGUCGCAGAAGCGGAAAGGGGCAGCCAAGGGAAGGACCGCAGAUGCGGGGUAUUGGCUGCAUCUGCGCAAGAGCAGAAGCGAGGCGGAGGACCACAGAAGCGGUGAUUGGCAUAGGUGCGAUGAGGGCUCCGCAGAUGCAGACUCGCAGAAGGGGCGAGGAGUCCGCAGGUGCGGAAGUCACUGGGCAGAAUGUUUUAAAAAGCGGGGUUGAGUUCAUUUCACCCAUUUUUCUCUACUUUGGGGAAAUUUUGGAGCUUCUUGAGAGGGGCUUCCACCUAGCAACUUGGAGGUAAGUUAAUCCUACCUAUUAUGAUUUAAAUACACUGAUUAUGUGUAGAUUUUAACAUGAAAAUUAGUGGAAAAUUUGGGGUUUGAGGGAAAACCUAAAAAAUUAGAAUUCUUGGAUUUUGACCACGGUUUUGGGCAGGAAAUUAAGAGUAAAUGAUAUAUUUGACUUUGUGAGGUUAUGGGUAAACUUUAUCUUCGAAAAAUUUCGGAAUCCGGGCACGUGGGCCCGAGGACAAUUUUGUAAACUUUUCGAUUGGAGUUAGGAAUUGUUAUAAAUUGGAUUGUAAUGAGUAAUUGAACAUAUAUUAAUGGAUUUGCAAAAUUAUUGUCUAGUUUUGGAGAAUUUAACAUCGAUUCGAGUCUUCGGAAGAGCGUGGAAUGCCGGUUAUGGAUCUUCGGGGUGAGGUGAGUCUCCUUUCUAACCAUGUAAGAGGGAAUUAUCCCCAUAGGUGAAAUAAUUGGUUAUGUGCUCCUAUUUGUGGGGGCUGCGUACGCACGAGGUGACGAGAGUCCGUGCGUAGCUACUAUUAUGUGUAAGUCCGAGUAGUCUAGGAUCCAAAAGCAUGCUAUACUUGGAAUAUUUGUAAACUUCUUGAUAGAUGAAUUGCUUAAAUCCUAUCGAAUAUGUAAAUGAAUUUCUAAAAGGAUUAAACUUCUUUUUUAUAAAAUUGUUAAAAGAGAAUGUGCUUUUCCUUGGAUAAUUGUUCCAUGAUGACUUCUUGAUUGACUGUCUAUAUGUGUUUAAUUUUGUAGCGGGCCGAAAGACUCGGUAGAUUAAAUAGAUGCAUCUACGGUUCGCACCAUUCGACCCUCUGGCAGUGCACAAUUUAAAUAUUGUUGGAUCGGGUCGUACGUCCUCGGCAUGAUUUGUGCAUGCUUGUAUUGCUUGCCUUGAGAUUUAUGGAGAUUGAUAUUUUCUCUCCCUGACUUGAGAUAAUUGAAAAUUAAUAGAUUAUGAAUCCGGAGAUUUUUAAUACAAAAAGGAACUUUUACUUGUUCGUGGCUUAUUUAAAAUUACUGCCAUUCUUAAUAAAUCUAUGAUUACUCACAUUAAUAAUAUAUUAUUAUUGGACCACUAGUAAGUGUCAAAGUCAACCUCUCGUCUCUACUUCUUCAAGAUUAGACGGGAUACUCACUGGGUACACGUUGUUUUCAUACUAAUGCUACACUUGUUGUGCAUUUUUGUUGCACAUAUUUAUGUGUGGCUAGUGGCUUAGUGGCAUAGCGGCAUGGUUGACACGGGGACUUAGGUGAGUUGCAUUUAUCGAGACGACCACAGCCAGCAGAGUCUCCUUCAGAGUAUGGUAUUUUAUUUUUAUUUCUGUCCACUUGUAUUCCGGACAGUCACUGUAUUUUAUUUCAUUCACUAGUAGAUGCUCAUGCACUUGUGACACCGGGUUUUGGGAUGAUCACGAGAUUUUUCAGUAAUUAAAAUGUUGUAAAGACAUCCUCAUUUAUUCAGUGGAGUUUAUUAUUUAUUAUUUAUUUGUUUAAAGAAAAUGAUUUCAGAAUAAAUAAUAUGAGAAAUUG
rnacentral:lncRNA from 1 species